rnacentral:rRNA from 1 species
CCUACGGGUGGUAGCAGUGGGGAAUAUUGGACAAUGGGCGAAAGCCUGAUCCAGCCAUGCCGCGUGUGUGAAGAAGGCCUUCGGGUUGUAAAGCACUUUCAGUGGGGAAGAAAGCCUUGGGGCUAAUACCCUCGAGGAAGGACAUCACCCACAGAAGAAGCACCGGCUAACUCCGUGCCAGCAGCCGCGGUAAUACGGAGGGUGCGAGCGUUAAUCGGAAUUACUGGGCGUAAAGCGCGCGUAGGCGGUCUGAUAAGCCGGUUGUGAAAGCCCCGGGCUCAACCUGGGAACGGCAUCCGGAACUGUCAGGCUAGAGUGCAGGAGAGGAAGGUAGAAUUCCCGGUGUAGCGGUGAAAUGCGUAGAGAUCGGGAGGAAUACCAGUGGCGAAGGCGGCCUUCUGGACUGACACUGACGCUGAGGUGCGAAAGCGUGGGUAGCAAACAGGAUUAGAUACCUUGUAGUC